GCACAAUGGGCGCAAGCCUGAUGCAGCGACGCCGCGUGAGGGAUGACGGCCUUCGGGUUGUAAACCUCUGUUAGCAUCGAAGAAGCGAAAGUGACGGUAGGUGCAGAGAAAGCGCCGGCUAACUACGUGCCAGCAGCCGCGGUAAUACGUAGGGCGCGAGCGUUGUCCGGAAUUAUUGGGCGUAAAGAGCUUGUAGGCGGUUGGUCGCGUCUGCUGUGAAAGGCUGGGGCUUAACCCUGGUUUUGCAGUGGGUACGGGCUAACUAGAGUGCAGUAGGGGAGACUGGAAUUCCUGGUGUAGCGGUGGAAUGCGCAGAUAUCAGGAGGAACACCGAUGGCGAAGGCAGGUCUCUGGGCUGUAACUGACGCUGAGAAGCGAAAGCAUGGGGAGCGAACAGGAUUAGAUACCCUGGUAGUCCAUGCCGUAAACGUUGGGCACUAGGUGUGGGGGACAUUCCACGUUUUCCGCGCCGUAGCUAACGCAUUAAGUGCCCCGCCUGGGGAGUACGGCCGCAAGGCUAAAACUCAAAGAAAUUGACGGGGGCCCGCACAAGCGGCGGAGCAUGCGGAUUAAUUCGAUGCGACGCGAAGAACCUUACC
rnacentral:rRNA from 1 species